CCCGCUGAACUUAAGCAUAUCAGUAAGCGGAGGAAAAGAAACUAACAAGGAUUCCCUCAGUAGCGGCGAGCGAAGCGGGAACAGCUCAAAUUUAAAAUCUGGCUCCCGGAUGGGUGUCCGAAUUGUAAUUGAGAGGGUCUCCUUUUGGCGACCUGGGAUGGUCAAAGUUCUCUGGAAAGGGACAACAAAGAGGGUGACAUUCCCGUCUGGAUCAUCUCGGGCCGUCAGGAUAAAGGAGGCUCCAAGAGUCGGAUUGUUUGGGAAUGCAGUCCAAAAUGGGUGGUACAUUUCAUCUAAAGCUAAAUAUUGGCAAGAGACCGAUAGCGAACAAGUACCGUGAGGGAAAGAUGAAAAGAACUUUGAAAAGAGAGUUAAAUAGUACGUGAAAUUGUUAAAAGGGAAACGAUUGAGACCAGUGAUGUCUCGGUCCUUGAGCUUGCCCUCCGGGGCCUGCGUCUGGGCUGUGACAAGUCGACGCUCCUUCUGGCGGGUGGAAAAGACUGGCGGAAAGGUGGCUCCACCUUCGGGUGGCUGCUUUAUAGUCCGUCAGGGAUACAUCCCUCGGGAGGAGAGAGGUAGGGCCGCAAGGCUCACGUCGACGAAAUGGUCUUAAACGACCCGUCUUGAAACACGG
rnacentral:rRNA from 1 species